GUGCUCGCUUCAGCAGGACAUAUACUAAAAUUGGAACGAUACAGAGAAGAUUAGCAUGAACCCUGCCCAAGAAUGAUAGGCAAAUUUGUGAAUCAUUCCAUAUUUUA